UACGUAGGGUGCGAGCGUUGUCCGGAAUUAUUGGGCGUAAAGAGCUCGUAGGCGGUCUGUCGCGUCUGCUGUGAAAUCCCGAGGCUCAACCUCGGGCCUGCAGUGGGUACGGGCAGACUAGAGUGCGGUAGGGGAGAUUGGAAUUCCUGGUGUAGCGGUGAAAUGCGCAGAUAUCAGGAGGAACACCAGCGGCGAAGGCGGCGCUCUGGGCCGGAACUGACGCUGAGGAGCGAAAGCGUGGGUAGCAAACAGG
rnacentral:rRNA from 1 species